GACGAACGCUGGCGGCGUGCUUAACACAUGCAAGUCGAACGGAAAGGCCCUGCUUUUGUGGGGUGCUCGAGUGGCGAACGGGUGAGUAACACGUGAGUAACCUGCCCUUGACUUUGGGAUAACUUCAUGAAACUGGGGCUAAUACCGGAUAUGAGCUCCUGCUGCAUGGUGGGGGUUGGAAAGUUUCGGCGGUUGGGGAUGGACUCGCGGCUUAUCAGCUUGUUGGUGGGGUAGUGGCUUACCAAGGCUUUGACGGGUAGCCGGCCUGAGAGGGUGACCGGCCACAUUGGGACUGAGAUACGGCCCAGACUCCUACGGGAGGCAGCAGUGGGGAAUAUUGCACAAUGGGCGGAAGCCUGAUGCAGCAACGCCGCGUGCGGGAUGACGGCCUUCGGGUUGUAAACCGCUUUCGCCUGUGACGAAGCGUGAGUGACGGUAAUGGGUAAAGAAGCACCGGCUAACUACGUG
rnacentral:rRNA from 1 species